rnacentral:rRNA from 1 species
AGAGUUUGAUCAUGGCUCAGAGCGAACGCUGGCGGCGUGCUUAACACAUGCAAGUCGAGUGCGUAGCCUGUAGCAAUACAGGCGGGCGCACGGCGCACGGGUGCGUAACACGUGGGCAAUCUGCCCUCCGAUGGGGAAUAACCCCGCGAAAGCGGGGCUAAUACCGCAUAACAUUCCGAGAACCUCGGUUUUUGGAUUCAAAGGCGUAAGUCGUCGGAGGAGGAGCCCGCGCACGAUUAGCUCGUUGGUAGGGUAACGGCCUACCAAGGCUAUGAUCGUUAGCUGGUCUGAGGGGAUGGCCAGCCACACUGGAACUGAGACACGGUCCAGACUCCUACGGGAGGCAGCAGUGGGGAAUCUUGCACAAUGGGCGAAAGCCUGAUGCAGCGACGCCGCGUGGGGGAUGAAGCUUCUCGGAGUGUAAACCCCUUUCGACCCGGACGAAUACCUCGUAAGAGGGGUGACGGUACGGGUAUAAGAAGCCCCGGCUAACUACGUGCCAGCAGCCGCGGUAAGACGUAGGGGGCCAGCGUUGCUCGGAAUUACUGGGUGUAAAGGGUUCGUAGGCGGUGUGGCAAGUCGGGAGUGAAAUCUCUGGGCUCAACUCAGAGGCUGCUUCCGAAACUGCUGUGCUGGAGUGUGGGAGAGGCGCGUGGAAUUGCAGGUGUAGCGGUGAAAUGCGUAGAUAUCUGCAGGAACACCCGUGGCGAAAGCGGCGCGCUGGACCACUACUGACGCUGAGGAACGAAAGCUAGGGGAGCAAACAGGAUUAGAUACCCCAGUAGUCC